GACGAACGCUGGCGGCGUGCUUAACACAUGCAAGUCGAACGGAAAGGCCCUGCUUGCAGGGUACUCGAGUGGCGAACGGGUGAGUAACACGUGGGUGAUCUGCCCUGCACUUCGGGAUAAGCCUGGGAAACUGGGUCUAAUACCGGAUAGGAGCCAUUUUUAGUGUGAUGGUUGGAAAGUUUUUUCGGUGUAGGAUGAGCUCGCGGCCUAUCAGCUUGUUGGUGGGGUAAUGGCCUACCAAGGCGGCGACGGGUAGCCGGCCUGAGAGGGUGGACGGCCACAUUGGGACUGAGAUACGGCCCAGACUCCUACGGGAGGCAGCAGUGGGGAAUAUUGCACAAUGGGCGCAAGCCAGAUGCAGCGACGCCGCGUGGGGGAUGACGGCCUUCGGGUUGUAAACUCCUUUCGCUAGGGACGAAGCUUUUUGUGACGGUACCUAGAUAAGAAGCACCGGCUAACUACGU
rnacentral:rRNA from 1 species